UACGUAGGGGGCAAGCGUUGUCCGGAUUUAUUGGGCGUAAAGAGCGUGUAGGCGGCCUGAAAGGUCAGCUGUGAAAACUCGAGGCUCAACCUCGAGACGUCGGUUGAAACCAUCUGGCUAGAGUCCGGAAGAGGAGUGUGGAAUUCCCGGUGUAGCGGUGAAAUGCGCAGAUAUCGGGAAGAACACCAGUGGCGAAGGCGGCUCACUGGCCCGAUACUGACGCUGAGGCACGAAAGCGUGGGGAGCAAACAGG
rnacentral:rRNA from 1 species